UACGGAGGGGGGCUAGCGUUGUUCGGAAUCACUGGGCGUAAAGGGUGCGUAGGCGGCGUGGAAAGUCAGAUGUGAAAUCCGGGGGGCUCAACCUCCGAAUUGCAUCCGAUACUACCAUGCUAGAGAACUGGAGGGGAGUCUGGAAUUCUUGGUGUAGCAGUGAAAUGCAUAGAUAUCAAGAGGAACACUAGUGGCGAAGGCGAGACUCUGGACAGUAUCUGACGCUCAUGCACGAAGGUCAGGGUAGCGAACGGG
rnacentral:rRNA from 1 species